ensembl:lncRNA
GCGAGCUUCAGGAUAAUCCCAGUGAUGGGGAAAGGAUGACCGCUGAGCUGAGAGACAUCAUCAGCCAGUUCAUGCAGAAGGUGGAUGAAUUUAGAUUUACUGUGAGCAACAUGGCUGUAAGCACAGAAGAAAAGCAAAUGAUGUUGAGGAGCAUGAUGGAGGCUCAAGACCAGUUGGAAAGAAACUACAUCAGUAAGAAGGAGGAGCACAGAGCUCUGGAGAUGCAAAACUACAUGGGCUUAUCCAGGAACACUGGCACUUUUGAUGCUAACAGACUAGUGGAAGGAGACAUCUUUAGGAUAGGCAUGCAUCUUGAGGACAUUAAGGAGAUCAUAGACAAAAACGUGUGUGAUCAGAUUUCUCCUCCUCACUCAACAUCCACUCCCACGUCCACGACUGUACCCACUCCUGUCUGCAUGUUCACACCUUCACCUCCACCUUCCCUGCAUGAGGGGCAAAGUUAUAAGAUGGACACAGAGGAAGAAGAAGAGGAAGAAGAAGCAGAGGAGGGCAGUGACCUUCAGAUAAAUGGUGGAUCAGACCAAAGUAGUGAGCUCGUAACUGCUGACCCUCUAGUGAAAAACUCUGGACAUGGCAGCUGCCAGUCACGGGACUCAACGGGCUCCUUGGUUGGACUUGAUGUCUGUAAAGAUGAGGAUGAGGAGAGGAGCUCUGGUUUGUCAGAGGUGGCAGAUCACAGUGACAUCUUAGCUUACCUGUGUGGAAACAAGACCACCUCACACGAGCAGUGGACAGUCAGCAGCCACAGCAUCAAGGAUAGAGUCUCCAGACAAAAGGAUGAAUGUGAUCUGGGUGACUGUGUUAGUCUGGCAGUGGAGGUCUCCUGUUCCUCUGAUGCACCAAGAGGCUCAGAGAGCCACAGCUUCUCAGAGCCGGAUCUCAACACCUCAUGUGCCUCGCAGAUGGUGAGUUCAGAGACAGACAGCGGAUUUGGGAGCUCUUACUUGAAUCAUUCGGGCUCGGGAUCAUUUCAAUCAAAUCUGCUUCCAGAAAGGUGUGAGUGAGAGUAUUUUAAUGACUGGUUCACCAUCAUAAACAUAUCACAUGAGCCUAACAUGAGAAUACCUUAAGCUGAGCUUUUGCUUCUGCAGUGUGUUGUCCCAGAAAGAAGGUUUAAGUAGCUCAGACAGUGAAGACUCGUGCUCCCACCUGCAAACAGCCAUCCACCCUGCCAUCACUGGCUACCAGUGGGCCAGCCCCCACCCAUCUGUCCUAACACAACACUGUGGAGCAACAGCUGGAGUGGAUCUGUGGGUGGACAGUACAACUAAGAACCCUUCAGCAAUGCUGCAAGGAUCUGACCAAAGCCUGUCUGCUCAGCACCAUCAGCUCGUAUCUCAACCUCUACUUGGCACCUCCAUGGAUACUGAUGGCAGAGGCAGCCCUCUGCGCUCCUGCUCUUGUAAUAGUGAGGCUAUCCUGGCCUUGCAAUCGGAGGUGUCUAGGCUAAAGAAGGACCUGGAGGUGGGCUUAGUGCAAUUACCUCACUUAGCUCAGAAGAUGGACUAUCUCACCUCAAAAUACAGACAAGAGCGCCAGGAGCGCCGGUCCAGAACCAGGACUUACCAAAGUCCAGCCUGUAACAGAGUGGGGAAUAUCAGCAGCAGAGAUGUGAGUAACUUCAGUUUCAGUCAGGCAAGGCUGGAGGACUGGAUCUCAUCAGACAUGGACCCCAGCCAGAGCAAAGGCACAGACAGCAGUGAAACAAGCUCUGAGAUAAUGUUAAAGUUACACAGUUCACCAGCAGGGAGCAGAAAAGGUGGCAGAGGCGUAUCCUCGGGACCUGAGUUUCAGUUUAAACACCAGGCGGUCCAGCCCAAAGGAGUUUCUCCUGCUGCGUGGACAGAGGGAGGCCGCUCACUGGAAACUUCUGGGUUGAGAAGCUGCAGUUUAAAAGGAAAGAACGACAUGAUGUCUGACUUCAGACCACAGAUUGUCACAAAUAGUUUACACUCCAAGGACAGAUGGUCUCUUCUCUCCAGCUCGUUUCUCCAGAAGCCGCUGUUGCAGGUCAGCUACGGCUCCUCCUGCAGUCUGCCGGCCAGCUAUAAAUUCAGGGAGCCACCGCUGCAGUCCAUGUCCCAUCACAGAAAACCUUCCACUCAGUCAGACACAGCACUCCUGCCCAGCAAUGUGUACUUUCAGCGGACACCGUCUCCAUCAUCCGUGCCCUUCAAGACUGGCAGCAGGACAAGCAGACGUAGCAGGAGCAAGGAAGAAGACGUGAACAGGACUCUGGACCAGGCGAUUGAGAUGGCUCGCAGCAUGAAGAGGACCACUGACCGCAUGGCCAGGAGGCUGUCUGUAGAUCUGGCUAAGGCUCAGCUACACAGGAAACUGCACCACAUGCAGUCACAAGGUGGAAGGAAACAUCUGGAACCUGGCUAUGGAUGAGUUUAUACUCUCAUCUCUUUGCCUGAUACCUUUCUGAAAUAUAUUUUAAAUAAAGUAUAUCUGAUUCACAGAUGUGAUCUGUGAUACGUUUGUUUUUGUUUUCUUUUGGUUUAAACAGUAUCGUCUAUAGUAGUAACAUGUAUAGUACGUUUAUAAAGUUACUGAUAUUUUUAUGAAUGGGCAACAUUUUUUAAAUAUGAAAUGUCUUCAUGUUUUGAUUUGAUCUCAAGGCCUCUGAAGAACAUUUUUAUCCAUCCAUCUUAACUGUAUUCUUACCAAAAUGUAUUCAAAAGAAAUGCUGUGAGGCACAAUGUGAUCUCAUAGUGACGACAACAGUAGACAUAGAGUACAUUGCGACAAGUUGAAGCAAUAAAUGUAAACUUAUUUUCACAAUGCUCCAUGUCACUGAACACCCUGGUAAUCUUUUUUUAAUGUCAGGUGAAAUAUAAGAAGUGAAGCUACAGUGAAUGUAUGAUUUACAGAUGGAAAAUAUAGGAAGUAAACACAUAAAAAAUAUAAAGUGACAUAAAAUUCAGCUUGAUCCUUUUUAAUUGGGUGCCGCAAGUGAAAAUACAUCCUUAACCAUCCUUAGACAUCAGAUGACUCUCUCUGAUAUUUCACCUCUUUACUUUGCCUGCUUCAGUUGUGUGUUUGUGAUCAUUUUCCUGCAGAAUCAUGCAGUGAGUUUCAUGCGUUUGGCAUUUGUAGUUUUUUCCUGUUUGUACCUACUUUGUUUUUUUUCUUUUAACUGUGAUGUCAGUGCACAGAUUUGGA